rnacentral:lncRNA from 1 species
UAGAAUCCCUUCGUCUCUCAAACUCUCUCUAACCACCCUCCAAAACCCUAUCCCUACUUCCACCUUGUUUCACCGGAAUCCAUGGCAUCCCAAGUCUUGGGUGGCCUAUACUCACCCUCAUGUGCCUUCAUACCCCUGUUACUUAAAGAUUUAAGGUUCGAGUUUGAAGGCCUUCGCUCAGAUCUUCGCAUAUUCGAGAUCUCCGGCUCAACUCUGGCAUAUCCUAGCCCUAGGAGUCCCUCUCUGACUCAUUCGACUCAAAGCAAACCCUUUUCC